GGGCCAUUAACUCAGGUGGUUAGAGCGCCACCCCUGAUUAGAUUGAGGUCCCUGGCUCAAUACCAUUAUGGCCCC
rnacentral:tRNA from 1 species